AGUAAAGUCCUUUUAGCAUUGGAACAGGGACGGCUAGGAGAAUACAAAGGGAAGAGCCUGGAUGAAAUUCAGCUUGAUGUGACAGAGACCAUUGACAUGGGCAUGGAUGAGUGUUCGCAAGAGGAUGACAUUAAUCCAGAAGCACAGGAGACCGAAGUUGAGGACAAUGUGACAUCCAUGCAAGAAGCACAAGAGACCGAAGUUGAGGACAAUGUGACAUCCAUUCAAGAACCUACUUCCACAAUACCUUCCACAGUUCAUCACCAGAGGAAGGCCCCUA